GACGAACGCUGGCGGCGUGCUUAACACAUGCAAGUCGAACGGAAAGGCCCUGCUUUUGUGGGGUGCUCGAGGGGCGAACGGGUGAGUAACACGUGAGUAACCUGCCCUUGACUUUGGGAUAACUUCAGGAAACUGGGGCUAAUACCGGAUAGGAGCUCCUGCUGCAGGGUGGGGGUUGGAAAGUUUCGGCGGUUGGGGAUGGACUCGCGGCUUAUCAGCUUGUUGGUGGGGUAGUGGCUUACCAAGGCUUUGACGGGUAGCAGGCCUGAGAGGGUGACCGGCCACAUUGGGACUGAGAUACGGCCCAGACUCCUACGGGAGGCAGCAGUGGGGAAUAGUGCACAAUGGGCGGAAGCCUGAUGCAGCAACGCCGCGUGCGGGAUGACGGCCUUCGGGUUGUAAACCGCUUUCGCCUGUGACGAAGCGUGAGUGACGGUAAUGGGUAAAGAAGCACCGGCUAACUACGUG
rnacentral:rRNA from 1 species